GCAAAUGCUGAACCGUUGCAAAAUUAUACUCUGGUUUAAAUUUGCAUUCGUUUGAUAAGGGUUCAAAAAUACAUUAAUCUUAAAUAUGCAAAAAUGUGUAUGGACUAGGAUUUGCAUCGAAAGUAAGUGACUUCAAAACCAAAGAAAAUUUUGCUCUCGUUAUCGGUCGAAGUAAAUAGGCAUACACAUUGCAUCGAUUUCGAUUGUUUCGAGAAUUUGGGAGAGAAGAGAACGAUUCUGAGCUUCGAUAGAGGUCGCUUCUCUCGUCGGAACAGAGAUCCGACCUUAUUAUCUAAAUCCACCGAUCUGCCUUUAUUUUCAGAGUGAGAGAGGUCCCUUUCAGAGUCCUAAUUUCAAGCUCCUCAACUCGAACAAAAAGCUGAAGUUUUAAGGCAGCAUUUUCUAUCUCUGAACCUCAAGCUUCAGUUGGAUAUCAGAAUCAGAAGCAGCCUCAAAUUUUGCAGCUUCAACUUGGCUGGAGCUCGACAACUUGGUUCUCAAGCUCAAAUAUCUAGAUGCAUCAUUUGCAUCUAAUUCAAGACUACAAGGCAGAGAUUCAAACCGUAGUGUUCGAUUCCAGCAUUUGCAUUUUCAUGCUAGGAAACAGUGCAGAAAAAGUUUUUAUUGCGUAUUUCUUAUUUUUCUGGAAUUUCUAUUAAAAUUUCUUGAUUUUUUUAUUUUAUAUAACUUAUUAAUUAAUUUGUUAUUUUUCAUAUUUCUUUAAUGGUGGGAGUAGUUGGAACACCAUUGGGUAGCAAGACAGUUGUAUUUGCAUUGAUGGAAGUGCCAAACAUCCAUAAAAAUUGUAUUGUUAUUUGCAUCGGUCAAAACAAAUGUGAGCUCAGUGCAAAGUGGGCGUGUAAAUCCUUGAACCACUUUGCACUCACAUGAACUGGAUAUUUUUGUUUUGUACUCCUUCCAAACGCAGCCUUAUUAAUUAAUGACCCCUACUUGUACUUGGUACAAUUAUAUAUCACCCAUAUGGGCCUCCUUGCUAUGUGACAAGUCAUUAACAUGUAUACUGAAUUUUUUAUUUGAUUUGUAAGACUGAAUUAGGUUCAGUGUGUGUGAUCAAACAACACACUUCGUUCAAAAGAUGGAAUCCACAUCAAUACAACAUCAUGAAAGCCUUUGUACUGGGUGUUUUUUUUUUUAUUCAAGUCAGGAAACUAAAUUAGCUUUUUUUGUGAUUUAAUGGAAAUGAAUAUGAUUUUAGUUUUUUGAAUUGGAAAAGAAUAUGAUUUUAGAAUUAGAGUGGAACCAUUUUCUUUUUGAAUUAAGAUUUAUUUAAUCCCUUCAGAAUUAGAGUGGGAGAAUUUACACCUAAUUUUUUAUUUGAUUAGGUUUUAUUUGUAAUCAAACAUCACACAUUAUUUGAAAGAAUAGUACCUACAACAAUGGAAAGCCUUUGUGCUUGAUUUUUUAUUUGAUUUCGAAAACUAAAUUAAAUUUUAUUCGUGAUUAAAAGUUAGAGAUUCAUUCAAAUUAUCAAGUGUCGGUUUUUAGGAGAUUUACUUUACAUUCUCCUUCUGUCGCCGACUGAUAGUGCCCACGAUAUCGGGCUGUAACCUUCUCGUUAAAUUAGGAUUCUCCGAUUCUGAAUGUUGCCCAGAUCACCGCCCAACGUCUGUGGACAGAUAAGUCGACUAAUUAUGGAAUCUAGGUUCUGUGCGUCCGUGAGCUGUAUUCAUGUCCAUCCAUGGAUUCUGUGGUUGUUCCAACUUCCAACCACGCACAGAAGGAGAAGGCCCUUCACCCACUUCACUUUUUUGCAAGCUGGUUUUCAUCAGCUUCCCAGUGCAUUACUAUUAACCCAAUUGCAAUUUGCAAUGAUGUUGCUGCUGUCCAAAACUGUGCUAUCUGCCACUUGGGUCCUCGUAUAUAGCGAUUUAGCAGUCAUCCAUAGAAACCAGAGAAGAGGUAGGCCAUGGGAAGCGUGAAAGAUAAGGCGAAGAGGACAUUACAUUCAACAGAUCAAUUUAGUCUUUGGCUGACCUCCUGUCUCCUGAGUCUUUGUCUCGCCAGCUUAAUCGUUGGCCUGCAAUUCUCUAUCAGAACUCCCAGGCCCCCUCCAUUUUUUUUACCUUUCUCUUCAACCUGCAAACCAUGCUGUUCCUCGUUUGCAUCUCCUGAUUGCUUUUCAUUGAUUUCUCCAAUCGGUUCAGGUGAACUCUUGAUGUGUUUCAUCAAGCGACCAAACAGAUGGUGUACGUGAGAUGAGCCAAAAUGGCCUUCUCAAGUAAAAUUAUAGAUAUUUUGGCUGAGCUUCUUCUUUGUUGACCUUCCCCAUUUUUAAUUUCUUAAAUAUGUUUUUGACCUCCUUGUGGAUCUUGGAAUCGUUAUCUCAUGCAAAAUAAAUAAAUAAAGAAAAUUAAAAAGAAAAAAAAAGCAAAAUGAGAUGCCCAUUUGACUAAGAAAAUGAAAUAACAAAACAUACCCUUCCCACCCAUCCAGUAGCAACUGUUGGACUUGAAUGCAGUGGAGAGCUACCUACUUUUGCUUUGCUGGUCUCUGCAUGAUGACAUUUCUUAUUUCAUCUUACCUGCACUAUGCAGUAUGCACCAUGUUUGAUACAUGCAAGAAAUCACAACAGAUGCCUCUUUGAAUUUUGCUUUUGCAAUCAAUAAUGCUUGCCUUGCCCCGACUCAAAACUAUAAUUACCACAGCAAACAGCAAUAAAUGCACAGAAGCUUAUUUUUCCUACCUUACAAAAUGCAAAAUAUUCAAAAGCAACAUAAUCAAUCAGUAUACCCCCCCCCCCCCUCCUACUCAAAUUCUAGAACAAAAACAGUUUUUUCUCAUAUAACUCUGCAUGUAUGUCACUCAAUAUAACUGAGUGUAUUCAAGAAGGCAUAAGUACAAAUUCUUCGAGAAAAAAGCAAAUAAAAAAAAAAAA